rnacentral:rRNA from 1 species
AAGCAACGCGAAGAACCUUACCAGGUCUUGACAUCCCGUUGACCACUGUAGAGAUAUGGUUUUCCCUUCGGGGACAACGGUGACAGGUGGUGCAUGGUUGUCGUCAGCUCGUGUCGUGAGAUGUUGGGUUAAGUCCCGCAACGAGCGCAACCCUUGAUCUUAGUUGCCAUCAUUUAGUUGGGCACUCUAAGGUGCCUGCCGGUGACAAACCGGAGGAAGGUGGGGAUGACGUCAAAUCAUCAUGCCCCUUAUGACCUGGGCUACACACGUGCUACAAUGGACGAUACAAACGGUUGCCAACUCGCGAGAGGGAGCUAAUCC